CCCUUAGAUGUUCUGGGCCGUACGCGUGCUACACUGAGUGGAUCAGCGGGUCAGGUUGCGCGAAAGCGUUUCCUAAUCUUUAAAUCCGCUCGUGAUGGGGAUUGACGGUUGCAAUUUUCUGUCAUGAACGAGGAAUACCUUGUAAGCGCGGGUCAUCAUCCCGCGCUGAAUACGUCCCUGCCCUUUGUACACACCGCCCGUCGCUCCUACCGAUUGAGUGGUCCGGUGAGGCUUUGGGAUCUGAGCGGAAAGAGCGUUUCGCUGUUUCUGCUCGGAAAACUCAGUCGAACCUUAUCAUUUAGAGGAAGGAGAAGUCGUACA
rnacentral:rRNA from 1 species